rnacentral:rRNA from 1 species
GACGAACGCUGGCGGCAGGCUUAACACAUGCAAGUCGAGCGCCCCGCAAGGGGAGCGGCGGACGGGUGAGUAACGCGCGGGAAUCUGCCCUUUGGUGUGGGACAACCACGGGAAACUGUGGCUAAUACCGCAUGAGCCCGAGAGGGGAAAGCCGCAAGGCGCCGAGGGAUGAGCCCGCGUCGGAUUAGCUAGUUGGUAGGGUAACGGCCUACCAAGGCGAUGAUCCGUAGCUGGUCUGAGAGGAUGAUCAGCCACACUGGGACUGAGACACGGCCCAGACUCCUACGGGAGGCAGCAGUGGGGAAUAUUGGACAAUGGGGAAACCCUGAUCCAGCCAUGCCGCGUGAGUGAUGAAGGCCUUCGGGUUGUUAAAG